rnacentral:misc_RNA from 1 species
GAUGAAGAACGCAGCGAAAUGCGAUACGUAAUGUGAAUUGCAGAAUUCAGUGAAUCAUCGAGUCUUUGAACGCACAUUGCGCCCCCUGGUAUUCCGGGGGGCAUGCCUGUCCGAGCGUCAUUGCUGCCCUCAAGCACGGCUUGUGUGUUGGGCCUCCGUCCUCCUCCCGGGGGACGGGCCCGAAAGGCAGCGGCGGCACCGCGUCCGGUCCUCGAGCGUAUGGGGCUUCGUCACCCGCUCUUGUAGGCCCGGCCGGCGCUUGCCGACACAUCAAUCUUUUUUCCAGGUUGACCUCGGAUCAGGUAGGGAUACCCGCUGAACUUAAGCAUAUCAUAACGGAGGA